UGGAUCAAUGAUGAUGACUGGUGACGUAUUAGUCACAUGCAAUGAGUACUACGUGUCUGGAACUCUGAGGCCCAA
rnacentral:snoRNA from 1 species